rnacentral:rRNA from 1 species
GACGAACGCUGGCGGCGUGCUUAACACAUGCAAGUCGAACGCUGAAGCCUAGCUUGCUAGGUGGAUUAGUGGCGAACGGGUGAGUAAUACGUGAGUAACCUACCUUUAACUCUGGGAUAAGCCCGGGAAACUGGGUCUAAUACCGGAUACGACCAAUCUCCGCCUGGGGUGUUGGUGGAAAGCGUUACGUAGUGGUUAUAGAUGGGCUCACGGCCUAUCAGCUUGUUGGUGAGGUAACGGCUCACCAAGGCGACGACGGGUAGCCGGCCUGAGAGGGUGACCGGCCACACUGGGACUGAGACACGGCCCAGACUCCUACGGGAGGCAGCAGUGGGGAAUAUUGCACAAUGGGCGCAAGCCUGAUGCAGCGACGCCGCGUGAGGGAUGACGGCCUUCGGGUUGUAAACCUCUGUUAGCAGGGAAGAAGAGAGAUUGACGGUACCUGCAGAGAAAGCGCCGGCUAACUACGUG